GGAAGCCGAGAGAAGAAGCUCACAAUAUUUCAGCAGCCAGCUGGGCACUGAACUACCCUUCCUAUCCAAAGUUGACAGAGAUGAAAAAGAACAGGAAAUACAGGUUCUGCUGGAGAUCAGACAGGCACUGGAAAAGCUGAUGCAGUUCAUCAAAAAAAUGCAACUGCAAGAAGACCGAUUACAAAUGCAGCUGACAGAGAACGAAAAGCAAGGGGGCCACUUCUUGAACACUGAGACAGCAACAACCCCGAAGCUCAGAAAGGUCAUACUUGCCCUAGCCUCUGAGUUUCAGGAACGCAUACUGAAACAACAAGCCAGUGUGGAGACUGCAUAUACCAAACUGGAAUAUGUGAGGGACUUGUCAACUAUCCAGACCCAGCAGGCAAAG
rnacentral:lncRNA from 1 species